AGGGUUGUAGUUAAUAAUAACAUUUGAUUUGCAUUCAAAAAGUACUAAUUUAUAGUCUUCCUU
rnacentral:tRNA from 1 species